rnacentral:rRNA from 1 species
AGAGUUUGAUCAUGGCUCAGAUUGAACGCUGGCGGCAGGCCUAACACAUGCAAGUCGAGCGGUAGCACAGAGAGCUUGCUCUCGGGUGACGAGCGGCGGACGGGUGAGUAAUGUCUGGGAAACUGCCUGAUGGAGGGGGAUAACUACUGGAAACGGUAGCUAAUACCGCAUAACGUCGCAAGACCAAAGUGGGGGACCUUCGGGCCUCAUGCCAUCAGAUGUGCCCAGAUGGGAUUAGCUAGUAGGUGGGGUAACGGCUCACCUAGGCGACGAUCCCUAGCUGGUCUGAGAGGAUGACCAGCCACACUGGAACUGAGACACGGUCCAGACUCCUACGGGAGGCAGCAGUGGGGAAUAUUGCACAAUGGGCGCAAGCCUGAUGCAGCCAUGCCGCGUGUGUGAAGAAGGCCUUCGGGUUGUAAAGCACUUUCAGCGGGGAGGAAGGCGGUAAGGUUAAUAACCUCAGCGAUUGACGUUACCCGCAGAAGAAGCACCGGCUAACUCCGUGCCAGCAGCCGCGGUAAUACGGAGGGUGCAAGCGUUAAUCGGAAUUACUGGGCGUAAAGCGCACGCAGGCGGUCUGUCAAGUCGGAUGUGAAAUCCCCGGGCUCAACCUGGGAACUGCAUUCGAAACUGGCAGGCUAGAGUCUUGUAGAGGGGGGUAGAAUUCCAGGUGUAGCGGUGAAAUGCGUAGAGAUCUGGAGGAAUACCGGUGGCGAAGGCGGCCCCCUGGACAAAGACUGACGCUCAGGUGCGAAAGCGUGGGGAGCAAACAGGAUUAGAUACCCUGGUAGUCCACGCCGUAAACGAUGUCGAUUUGGAGGUUGUGCCCUUGAGGCGUGGCUUCCGGAGCUAACGCGUUAAAUCGACCGCCUGGGGAGUACGGCCGCAAGGUUAAAACUCAAAUGAAUUGACGGGGGCCCGCACAAGCGGUGGAGCAUGUGGUUUAAUUCGAUGCAACGCGAAGAACCUUACCUGGUCUUGACAUCCACAGAACUUUCCAGAGAUGGAUUGGUGCCUUCGGGAACUGUGAGACAGGUGCUGCAUGGCUGUCGUCAGCUCGUGUUGUGAAAUGUUGGGUUAAGUCCCGCAACGAGCGCAACCCUUAUCCUUUGUUGCCAGCGGUCCGGCCGGGAACUCAAAGGAGACUGCCAGUGAUAAACUGGAGGAAGGUGGGGAUGACGUCAAGUCAUCAUGGCCCUUACGACCAGGGCUACACACGUGCUACAAUGGCAUAUACAAAGAGAAGCGACCUCGCGAGAGCAAGCGGACCUCAUAAAGUAUGUCGUAGUCCGGAUUGGAGUCUGCAACUCGACUCCAUGAAGUCGGAAUCGCUAGUAAUCGUAGAUCAGAAUGCUACGGUGAAUACGUUCCCGGGCCUUGUACACACCGCCCGUCACACCAUGGGAGUGGGUUGCAAAAGAAGUAGGUAGCUUAACCUUCGGGAGGGCGCUUACCACUUUGUGAUUCAUGACUGGGGUGAAGUCGUAACAAGGUAACCGUAGGGGAACCUGCGGUUGGAUCACCU